rnacentral:rRNA from 1 species
AGAAUCAACGCUGGCGGCGUGCCUCAGACAUGCAAGUCGUACGAUUAAAGCUCUCUUCGGAGAGUGCAUAAAGUGGCGUACGGGUGAGUAACACGUAAGUAAUCUACCUUUGAGUGGGGAAUAACAGUCGGAAAGGAACGCUAAUACCGCAUGACGUUCUGGGUUUGAAGACCUGGAAACCAAAGCCGGGGACCGUAAGGCCUGGCGCUUGGAGAGGAGCCCGCGUCCGAUUAGCUAGUUGGCAGGGUAACGGCCCACCAAGGCAACGAUCGGUA